UUAGUAAAUUUUUUUAUUAGAAAAUUAUACAAAUUACUUAAAUUUAGAUUUAGAUUGUAAGAUGUCAAUUAUGUUUAGAUGUUUUUAUUUUAUAAACAAGCUAGUAAUAAAAAUCUAUCAACACAAACGCCAAUAAUUUCAAUGGAUUUUCAAUCGUUGAAAAUGAAUUUAGAAAUAUCUUGUCAAUACAUGUCACUUUUGUUUAUCAUCUAGCACACAUAAACUUUCUAGUAUGUAGACUAGAGUCUCACAAUCACACAAUCAGUUCAUAGGAAUGACAAUGACAGUCAUUCACCAAUGGGAUCAAAUUUGGUGACACUGGAUUUGUGACAUUAUUCAGCAGAUAUCUAAUUUGAAAGAAAAACAGAGGUAAAUUAAAAUAUCAACUGAAUUCAAUGCAAUACAGGAUAAAUACCAAGAAUAGUU
rnacentral:lncRNA from 1 species